rnacentral:rRNA from 1 species
AACGUAGGACACAAGCGUUAUCCGGAGUUACUGGGCGUAAAGGGCGUGUAGGCGGACGUGUAAGUCUAUUCUGAAAGCUCCUGGCUAAACUGGGGAGAGGCGAAUGGAGACUGCAUAUCUAGAGUGAGGAAGAGGAAAGUGGAAUUCCGCGUGUAGUGGUGAAAUGCGUAGAGAGUCCGGAGGAACCCCCAGAGGCGAAGGCGGCGCCCUGGCUCGCAACUGACGCUCAGACACGACAGCA